rnacentral:tRNA from 1 species
GGGGCGGUAGCUCAGUCGGUCAGAGCAGCGGACUCAUAAUCCGUCGGUCGUGGGUUCGAGCCCCACCCGCCCCACCA